rfam:Triticum urartu cultivar G1812 contig543169, whole genome shotgun sequence.
UAUAUACUCCCUCCGUCCGAAAAUACUUGUCGGAGACAUGGAUGUAUCUAGAUGUAUUUUAGUUCUAGAUACAUCUGUUUUUAUUCAUUUCUGCGACAAGUAAUUUCGGACAGAGGGAGUAUAAG